rnacentral:rRNA from 1 species
UAGGGAAUCUUCCGCAAUGGACGCAAGUCUGACGGAGCAACGCCGCGUGAGUGAAGAAGGUUUUCGGAUCGUAAAACUCUGUUGUUAGAGAAGAACAAGUGCUAGAGUAACUGUUAGCGCCUUGACGGUAUCUAACCAGAAAGCCACGGCUAACUACGUGCCAGCAGCCGCGGUAAUACGUAGGUGGCAAGCGUUGUCCGGAUUUAUUGGGCGUAAAGCGAGCGCAGGCGGUUCCUUAAGUCUGAUGUGAAAGCCCCCGGCUCAACCGGGGAGGGUCAUUGGAAACUGGGGGACUUGAGUGCAGAAGAGGAGAGUGGAAUUCCAUGUGUAGCGGUGAAAUGCGUAGAUAUAUGGAGGAACACCAGUGGCGAAGGCGACUCUCUGGUCUGUAACUGACGCUGAGGCUCGAAAGCGUGGGUAGCAAACAGGAUUAGAUACCCUGGUAGUCCACGCCGUAAACGAUGAGUGCUAAGUGUUGGAGGGUUUCCGCCCUUCAGUGCUGCAGUUAACGCAUUAAGCACUCCGCCUGGGGAGUACGACCGCAAAGGUUG